GGUGAACGCUGGCGGUAGGCCUAACACAUGCAAGUCGAACGGCAGCACAGUACUAGCUUGCUCUUACGGGUGGCGAGUGGCGGACGGGUGCGGAAUACAUCGGAAUCUACUUUUUCGUGGGGGCUAACGUAGGGACACUUACGCUAAUACCGCAUACGACCUACGGGUGAAAUCAGGGGAUCUUCGGACCUUGCGCGAUUGAAUGAGCCGAUGUCGGAUUAGCUAGUUGGCGGGGUAAAGGCCCACCAAGGCGACGAUCCGUAGCUGGUCUGAGAGGAUGAUCAGCCACACUGGAACUGAGACACGGUCCAGACUCCUACGGGAGGCAGCAGUGGGGAAUAUUGGACAAUGGGCGCAAGCCUGAUCCAGCCAUACCGCGUGGGUGAAGAAGGCCUUCGGGUUGUAAAGCCCUUUUGUUGGGAAAGAAAAGCAGCAGGUUAAUACCCCGCUGUUCUGACGGUACCAAAAGAAUAAGCACCGGCUAACUUCGUG
rnacentral:rRNA from 1 species